GAUGAAGAACGCAGCGAAAUGCGAUACGUAAUGUGAAUUGCAGAAUUCAGUGAAUCAUCGAAUCUUUGAACGCAUAUUGCGCUCUCUGGUAUUCCGGAGAGCAUGCUUGUUUGAGUAUCAGUAAACACCUCAACUUCCAUAUCUUUUUUGAAAUGGGAGUUGGACUUGAGUGAUCCCAACGCUUUUCCUCACCGAAAAGUGGCGGGUUACUUGAAAUGCAGGUGCAGCUGGACUUUUCUCUGAGCUUAUAAGCAUAUCUAUUUAGUCUGCCUAAAAAACAGAUUAUUACCUUUGCUGCAGCUAACAUAAAGGAGAUUAGUUCUUGUGCUGACUGAUGCAGGAUUCACAAAGACAGGCUUCGGCCGACUUUGUAAACUCGAUCUCAAAUCAAGUAAGACUACCCGCUGAACUUAAGCAUAUCAAUAAGCGGAGGA
rnacentral:misc_RNA from 1 species